CAUUACACUUGCACGUUCUUCUUUAACAAAAGAAUCUUCUUUUUCUUUUUCUUUUUCUUUUGUUAGUCCUUGCAUUCUUGGCUUCAUUCUCAAGUUGAACCCUAAUUUUUUAGCUUAAAUACCAAUCUACAAAAUCAGAGUAAGAGAGUAAGAGAAGGAGGGAACAGAGAGAUUCCUCAAAAUGUAAGAAACAAAAGAAUGAGAAAUAUCGUUUCCAGUCGUCGUUUGUAUCACACUGCCGUUUCCGCAUCCCUCCCCCGGCGCCGUUUCUGCGCCUUACGACCGUCACGUCCUUCCACCUUCAUCGCCGCACAACAUCACCACUGGCGGCCUCUCACUCUCACUGCACUUGGAUGCUCUGCUGUUGGAGUAGGAGUAUUUAAUCAGCAUGAAUCUUUCAAACCCACUAACAAGACUCUGGUCGAAAACCCCUACAGCUCAUUAAAGCAAACAGGAGAUAAAGCUCAUGUAUGUAAUCGAGAUGCAACAAAUACAUACAUGAGUAAAAGAAAAACAUUAAAAGCUUUACAUGUAUUGCUGGUAGGGAUUCAAAAAUGGAUUAUCAAGCUUGGUUUCAAGGUGGUCAGAUAAAUAUUUUGGAUUAUCAAGCUUGGUUUCAAGGUGGUCAGAUAAAUAUCUGUCCUAUUUGAAUGUGGCCGAAAAAUGGACCCAAAUAUUUCAAGACAUCCUAAGAUUUGCUACAAUAAAAGGAGAAGGUCAUUCAGCUGGAGUUUCUAAACCGAAGAGUUUGCUUGUGAUGCUGAAGGCUUUUUUUAAGAAGGAAAACCACUUCCAGAAAGACACCAUUUUCCUUUCAAAAAUAGGCAUUAAAAAAUAUGAUUCUAUCUAAAUGUCAAAGUUAAUAUUGAUAGCUAAAAGCAAGGAUCAUCAUUGGUUGAGAGUAAUGUUGGUUUUCUCUUGGUAGUCUUGCAUGAUGUGUAGAUAUAACAGGUUUUAAAGAAUUGAAAAUUGAGUUGUAUUCUCAAAUUUUGGUAGAUAUAAUAACAUUUGUAGAUAUUUUAUGUUUUGAAGAAUUGAAAAUUGAGUUGUAUUCUCUAAUUUGUACUAUUUGUUUAAAAAUUAUUCUCUUAUAAUUUUUUUAA